rnacentral:lncRNA from 1 species
UCGGUGCCCGUCACAGUGGGUGUUCAGAGGUCAUCACCAAACACAGCUCACACACAUUCCACCUGGCCUAGCUAGAACCACAGCCUGUGCCUCUUCCAGAUGCCACACAGAGCAGAGCCGUCACCAGCCGGGCCACUGUGUCCCAGCACCCUCAACAGUGCAUCAGCACCCAGGUCAUCCUCUUCCCCAUUGUCAAAAGACUGAGUCCACAGCAGAUCAGCACAGUUUCCAGUAAGCCAUUUUGGAGACGUUUGAAAUUGAGCAGAAAACAGAAUAGAGGGGAACCAAACUGAGAAGGUGAAGCCAGACCUUCAGUGUGUGCGGCUGAUUUGGGGGAGAGGAGGCUGUGACACAGGGAUGUAGUGGGCAGGGAGGCAGGCCGGAAAGUGACAGCUCUCCAAGAGGCAGCGGCAUGACCCCACGGGAAGGCGCAUCCGUUAGAGGGGCUCGUCACCAUGGAGACCGGGCAAAUGGGCCAGGCGGCCAGGGAGGCGGGAACAAAGCGGGCGCUCGGGGGAGCCUGGGCACGCUUGGUACAGAAGCACGCGGAGGGGAGACAAGUGCACAGCGGCCCCUCAAGGAGUGCAUUCUCCCCCCAUUUGGGCACCACGAA